rnacentral:lncRNA from 1 species
UUAGUAGAGAGUGCUCUACUCUAUUAAGCUCAAUUCUCAUUUAUAUGUGACUUUUUACUCAUUGUUGCUCUUAUUUGUCAUCCCAAAUUUCAUCCAUCAAAAACACAAAAUUUUCAAUCACCAAAUCCUAAUUCUCAAGUAUCCAAUCUCAAGUUCAUCACACAAUUCAAUCCGACAGCAUGCUUAUCACUAAUAUUUCAACAACCACAAGGCUCACAACACACAUAACAACAUAAAAACAGACUCAACAGAACACAACUCAAAGAUGCCCCCCUCACACUUAGAUUUUACUUGCCCUCAAGCAAACAAAACAAAGCA